GACGAACGCUGGCGGCGUGCUUAACACAUGCAAGUCGAACGGAAAGGCCCCUUUGGGGGUACUCGAGUGGCGAACGGGUGAGUAACACGUGAGUAACCUGCCCUUGACUUCGGGAUAACUUCAGGAAACUGGGGCUAAUACCGGAUAGGAAUCCUUGCUGCAUGGUGGGGGUUGGAAAGCUUCGGCGGUUUUGGAUGGACUCGCGGCUUAUCAGCUUGUUGGUGGGGUAGUGGCUUACCAAGGCUUUGACGGGUAGCCGGCCUGAGAGGGCGACCGGCCACAUUGGGACUGAGAUACGGCCCAGACUCCUACGGGAGGCAGCAGUGGGGAAUAUUGCACAAUGGGCGGUAGCCUGAUGCAGCAACGCCGCGUGCGGGAUGACGGCCUUCGGGUUGUAAACCGCUUUCAGCAGGGGCGAAGCUUGUGGUGACGGUACCUGCAGAAGAAGCACCGGCUAACUACGUG
rnacentral:rRNA from 1 species